UGGGGAAUAUUGGGCAAUGGGCGAAAGCCUUACCCAGCAACGCCGCGUGAGGGAAGAAGGUUUUCGGAUUGUAAACCUCUGUCCUGGGGGACGAAGGAAGUGACGGUACCCCGGGAGGAAGCCCCGGCUAACUACGUGCCAGCAGCCGCGGUAAUACGUAGGGGGCGAGCGUUGUCCGGAAUUAUUGGGCGUAAAGGGCGCGUAGACGGCCGAGUAAGUUAUAGGUGAAAGCCCAUCUUUCAAGGAUGGAAUUGCCUGUAAUACUGCCUGGCUUGAGUGCAGGAGAGGGAAGCGGAAUUCCUAGUGUAGCGGUGAAAUGCGUAGAUAUUAGGAGGGACACCAGUGGCGAAGGCGGCUUUCUGGACUGCAACUGACGUUGAGGCGCGAAAGCGUGGGGGAGCAAACAGGAUUAGAUACC
rnacentral:rRNA from 1 species